AAAAAAAUCUAAAUGACAUGUCUUGCUUUUAAAAUAUUCUUAAAAAUAACACAGAUUUUCACGAGAAAAUAGAGAAAAGGUUUGGGCGAAAAGCUCCUGCUUUUGGUAACUGAGUCAGCCACCACAUUCGCCUCUCACAUCAUCAAUCUCCAGGGCCUGUUAGAUUUUCAGUGCAACUGCUGAGUAGAACCCCAUCAAAACUAUUAGUUACCACCACAACCCCAUACUUGGGGAAUAACAGAGUCAGAUAUCUCCUCAAGCUUUGUUUCAUCAACUAACAGCAUCUCCUUCAUUCUAAAGCUGCAAGCUUUUCUAUCACUUGCUCAACUUAACUCUUAGCAUUUCUUGUAACCACCUCUCUCCUCUUUUCAAGCUCCCCAUCUCACGUGAACCACUUUUUAGCCUUUCUACAUCUAUGAAUUGUGUGAUGUGUUUUCCAGUUCAAUGCUUGAUAGAUUUUUCUGGAUGCUUCAUUUUUCUUUUGUGAUCUCUUAUGGUGUUUUUUUCCAGUCAGAAGUAUCUAAAAUAACAAGCUGCCUUCUUGUUUCAAUUGAUACUACUAUACUAGCUCUCAAAUGACAUCCUCCUUCAAACCUAAGCGCUUACCUAAUUAAAUUCAAAUGAAUGAAUCAUAUUUCUUCUCCUUUUUAUUGUUACAAUUAAACAAUCUCUUUUGGUUGCAAUAAAACUUUGUUCUCUAUUAUUAAUUAGCUUCACAAUCUUUUAGUUCCACUAAAGAAAAGAAAUCUUAGAUUUAAAAAUUAAAUUCAAAUAAAUGAAUCCUAGACUCAAAAUCGGAAUAUUUUAUUUUUCAAAAUUCUUUUUAUUUCUAAGCCAUAUUAGAUUUUAUUAAAAACAUUUAAAACAUGAAUGAUGCAGAGAAUCACAUGUCCAUAAUCUUCCUACCCAAUGAAAAAAAUAAUGCAGUAUCAAGUAUACUACCACCAUGCCGAGAAAAAAAUUUUCGUAUAGAAUUGAAUUAUAAAUAUUUGAGGAUUAAAGUGCAAUUUGACCAUUCUAAUGACUUAAGAUUUUUCAUACUUCAAAAGGUCUAAAAAUAAGUUUUCCAUUUUUAUUAUUAAUAAGUGAGAAUUCAAGUUGUCCAUAAUUUGAAACAGAGCAUAUGUAACACCUUAAAUCCGACCUAGACUUUAUGACUGAAUCUGGAAUUGUUACAAAAAAAGAAGUUAUAAAUCUGACUUUUUCUUUAUAAAAGCAUCACAUAUCUUUGCUACUUAAGCGUCCACAUUAUUUAAAAAUGUGUUGCUAUAUUUAGUAGUUAAAUUGUCAGUUGUUUUUAUUUUCAAAUAAACCAAAUAAUUUGUAGUGAAAGUUCUUAAAUUGUUAUAUCUUGAAAACUCGGGAUGUUUUCUCGAAAACGGUUGAUUACUGAAAAACAAUUGUUUUCGUAAAUCGUUUUAUCAAACGUCAUGCUUAGAAAUUCCAAAUUAAAAUCCAAAACCAAAAUAAAAACUCAAAAGUCUAGAGAGUCCAAAAAUUACAAACUCUCAAAACGAAAAUUUACAUAAACAAAUUUAUGUAAAUAGAGUUUUACAAAAAAAUGGUCACAUCCGAGCUCCCGUCGCAUCAACCCGCCUAAGCCUGAGGGUUACCUGAAAGUAAC
rnacentral:lncRNA from 1 species